AGAGCAAAAACCAAGCCAUGAGGUCUAAGGAAUUGUCCCUAGACCUCCGAGACAUGGAACAGGUCUCUGGACUUUUCUGUCCAUGCAUUCAGGCCGUUAAGAUGGCAGAGAAAUACGGAGUGUUUCCUACUCUCAUGUUCCAUGGACACAUUUUAUGUUGCGAACCAGCAUUCGUGGAGAGGUAUAACAUAGAGGGAACCAUUUGCGAUGACUGGUGUAUGACUGCUUACUGCGAACCAUGUGUUCAAUGCCAAAUCGUUCAUGAAGUCAAUAAGGAGAUUCCUAACUGACAGAGCCAGAAAGUGAUUGCUGAUCCCCAAAGUGUUGUCUUCCGCACCUUGUUAUGAAAAUGUUCAUUAAAUUGUUUCACUGA